UGGAGAGUUUGAUCCUGGCUCAGGACGAACGCUGGCGGCAUGCCUAAUACAUGCAAGUCGAGCGGASUUGAWRAGAAGCUUGCUUCUYKGAKASUUAGCGGCGGACGGGUGAGUAACACGUAGGCAACCUGCCCUCAAGCUUGGGACAACUACCGGAAACGGUAGCUAAUACCGAAUACUUGUUUUCUUCGCCUGAAGRRAACUGGAAAGACGGAGCAAUCUGUCACUUGGGGAUGGGCCUGCGGCGCAUUAGCUAGUUGGUGAGGUAACGGCUCACCAAGGCGACGAUGCGUAGCCGACCUGAGAGGGUGAUCGGCCACACUGGGACUGAGACACGGCCCAGACUCCUACGGGAGGCAGCAGUAGGGAAUCUUCCGCAAUGGGCGAAAGCCUGACGGAGCAAUGCCGCGUGAGUGAUGAAGGUUUUCGGAUCGUAAAGCUCUGUUGCCAGGGAAGAACGUYCUUGAGAGUAACUGCUCAAGGAGUGACGGUACCUGAGAAGAAAGCCCCGGCUAACUACGUGCCAGCAGCCGCGGUA
rnacentral:rRNA from 1 species